GCUGCUCUGGUGCAGUGGUCAACAAGUUCUUUUUGCACAAGCACGGCCCUGGUUCAAUCCCAGGCUCGAUCC